GACGUAAGGGCAAGCGUUGUCCGGAAUUACUGGGCGUAAAGAGCGCGUAGGUGGCUUAGCAAGCGGCGGGUGAAAGCCCGCGGCUCAACUGCGGAAUUGCUUGCCGAACUGCUAAGCUAGAGCGCGGGAGAGGGCAGUGGAAUUCCUGGUGUAGCGGUGGAAUGCGUCAAUAUCAGGAAGAACACCCGUGGCGAAGGCUGCUGCCUGGAACGUUGCUGACGCUGAGACGCGAAAGCUAGGGGAGCGAACGGGAUUAGAUACCCGU
rnacentral:rRNA from 1 species